AUCGGUGACAGGUGGUGCAUGGUUGUCGUCAGCUCGUGUCGUGAGAUGUUGGUUAAGUCCGCAACGAGCGCAACCCCUAUUGUUAGUUGCCAUCAUUCAGUUGGGCACUCUAGCGAGACUGCCGGUAAUAAACCGGAGGAAGGUGGGGAUGACGUCAAAUCAUCAUGCCCCUUAUGACCUGGGCUACACACGUGCUACAAUGGUUGGUACAACGAGUUGCGAGUCGGUGACGGCGAGCUAAUCUCUUAAAGCCAAUCUCAGUUCGGAUUGUAGGCUGCAACUCGCCUACAUGAAGUCGGAAUCGCUAGUAAUCGCGGAUCAGCACGCCGCGGUGAAUACGUUCCCGGGCCUU
rnacentral:rRNA from 1 species